rnacentral:rRNA from 1 species
AGAUGCUAAUAACCGGAUAACAAACUAGAUGAUGCCUAUCAACUGUUUAAAAGAUGGUUCUGCUAUCACUCUUGGAUGGACCUGCGGUGCAUUAGCUAGUUGGUAGGGGUAACGGCCUACCAAGGCGAUGAUGCAUAGCCGAGUUGAGAGACUGAUCGGCCACAUUGGGACUGAGACACGGCCCAAACUCCUACGGGAGGCAGCAGAA